UAUUCCUCCCGUUCGAUAACAGUACUUAAAAUCAUGAGUAUCCUGCUUGUAAAAAUAUAAAUUUCAAUCCAUAAUUUAUAUUUAAUAAUUAUUUAUAUAUAGAGUCGAAAAUUGUUCUCAUGAUUUGUUUUUUUUUUUUUUUUUUAAUCUCCACUAAAUCUAAAAAUCAAGAAGACCACCUACUUCUCGACGUCAAGAAGCCCUCGGACGUCAAGAAGCCCUUUUCUGAAGUUGCCCUCCAGACGAAUCCCUGAAAAGGCCCUAUUUUCCUCUGCCACUCUCAAUCCUCGCAGGUCUACCUUAAGUUACUUCAGAUUUGUUCCACCUCCGUUUGAAUGGAUAGUGAUUAAAGGAUCAGUUUCCGAGUUGCCAGCUAAGGCUGGAAAGCAUUUAUUAAGUGCUGUCCUGACACAGCUUACCGAUUUCUCUUAACGGAGCCUGAUGUUUUCUCAAGACUUUCGGAUUGGUCUUGUUUCUUGGAUCUUGUAAAGUUGGCAAAUCUAAGAAUUUUUAAAAAUAAUUUUAAACUUAAAUAAUAAACUUAUUAAUAUCAUAAAUUUAAUUGGUUU